rnacentral:rRNA from 1 species
AUACGUAGGGGGCAAGCGUUAUCCGGAUUUACUGGGUGUAAAGGGAGCGUAGACGGAAGGCCAAGUCUGAUGUGAAAGCCCGCGGCUCAACUGCGGGACUGCAUUGGAAACUGGUCAUCUGGAGUGCAGGAGGGGUAAGCGGAAUUCCUAGUGUAGCGGUGAAAUGCGUAGAUAUUAGGAAGAACACCGGUGGCGAAGGCGGCUAUCUGGACAGUAACUGACGCUGAGGCGCGAAAGCGUGGGGAGCAAACAGGAUUAGAUACCCUGGUAGUCCACGCUGUAAACGAUGAAUACUAGGUGUGGGGGGACUGACCCCCUCCGUGCCGCAGUUAACACAAUAAGUAUUCCACCUGGGGAGUACGAUCGCAAGAUUGAAACUCAAAGGAAUUGACGGGG